CAUUAACGCUGUUUAACGUUAACGUUAACUUACAACAAUGUUGUAACGUUAGUUUCCAACAGCACCAAUUGACAGCACCUGUCUCCUUUUUAGGUUAAAUCUUUUCUUCACCCCUGGCUGAGAGCCCGGGAUUAAUAGGAGGCGGUACGGAAGAACCAAGCUGCUAGCAGCGCAUCGGACAACAAGAUUAACCAGCACGCCAUCUGCUGGUUCAACCUGGCCUCUGACCAUGGAGGUGGCCGCAAAGAACGUGCCAUGGCCAGAGAGGCAUUAAGCGUGAAAUGAACACAUCGGCCAUCCCCCACUCUUCCACUACUGAUGAUUUGUUGGGUGUCAUGUGAGGGUUAUCGCAUUCCCACUUCUCCACUUGCCUCAUCAAUGUUUCCCGUAAAGCCACCAAACAAUGUGUAUGAACAUUUUACAGUUUUUUCUGGGUUUCACAUGACUAGUUGGAGUUGGAUAUUGUAUUUUGGCUAUAAAAUCUUUGUUAUUUAUACCAUGGUCAUGGAAAAUGGUUAAAAUCUAAAUGGCUGGCAGUAAUCAUCUAUCAAGACAAACUAAUCGCUUGUCGCUAAUUAAAACGUUAUCUUGUGUGUUUAGGCCGUAGAAUCUCGUGUGUCUCCUGGCUUUAGCUUUAUAUGUAGAGUAUGGUAUCAUGAGUGUGGUAUCUAUCUUCUCAUCUCUCUCAGGGAGAAAGAAAUCUUACUUUCUUACCAUCAUCAUUAUUAAUGGUACACUACACUAUGCAAGACUGAUAGCAAUGUCAAUGUAUUGAGCUUUUUAACUAAGCCACACCGUUGCUAUUAUUAGAGUUUAAUACUUCUGCAUUCAUUUAAAAAUAACACCUGUGUCAUAGGUGUGUGGUUACUGUACGGUUACUAGAAACUAAUUGUCACCUGCAAGUCAACUGGAGUGAAGUUUCUUGUUCCUACAGUUGUUAAAGACAGAAAUGAGCUGUAAAAUGUGUUUAUUAGAUUGAAUGUUAGUUUGGCAAUUAUCUACUUUGUUUUAAGUUUCUGUUCUCUCUUUUUAUCUCAAACAUUUCAAAUAAAAAUUCAAAUGUGUAUUUUAAAUAAA